CAGCAGCCGCGGUAAAACGUAGGGUGCAAGCGUUAAUCGGAAUUACUGGGCGUAAAGCGUGCGCAGGCGGUUAUAUAAGACAGAUGUGAAAUCCCCGGGCUCAACCUGGGAACUGCAUUUGUGACUGUAUAGCUAGAGUACGGCAGAGGGGGAUGGAAUUCCGCGUGUAGCAGUGAAAUGCGUAGAUAUGCGGAGGAACACCGAUGGCGAAGGCAAUCCCCUGGGCCUGUACUGACGCUCAUGCACGAAAGCGUGGGGAGCAAACAGGAUUAGAUAACCCAGUAGUCCCUGUCUCUUAUAC
rnacentral:rRNA from 1 species